ACCAACUUAAAAUUAGGGUUUUAUCUUAUCCAUUUCUCUCUUCUUCAGAGUUUUAAGACAAAAAAAAAAAAAUGCUCAAAGAAGAUUCCAUGACGGAACGUUCAAUCCCUCUUCCUUCUCUCCUCCACUCCGGCUUAAACCUUCUUUUCUUCCCAGAGGGUUUUAUUAAUUAACAGCUCCUUUCAAUUUCUCUUUAUAAAACCUAUUCAAAUGCCGCAGAUUACUACUACAACUUGCUUCUCUACGCCCACUGCUACUUUCUCAGCGUAUUUGUACCAUAACCGUAUCCCUAAUUUGGUACCGUCGGUUCGAUUCUCAAUUGAAGAUAGUGGAACCCGAGCUUGGGUUAGACGAACCGGUACAAGAUCCAAAUGGUUCAAUUCGAGCUCCUUACGGAGAAAGAUUCUCCGACUAAGUCCACCAGAACGAAUCGUAGAUCUAACGGCGGUGGUGGAGGAGGAUUGGUUCGUAAUCCAGAUUUGUUGAAAAUUCCAGGAGUUGGUCCAAGGAAUCAGAGAAAGCUCGUUGAAAAUGGAAUCCAAGGUGUUGCUGAGCUCAAGCAGUUAUACAAAGAUAAGUUUUGGGAAGCUAGUCAGAAAAUGGUUGAGUAUCUUCAAAGCUCAGUUGGGAUUAAGCAUCGGAACCACGCCGAGAGCAUAACAACGUUCAUCAAACAAAGCGUGGACGAAGAAGAACUCAAGGAUUCUUCUGAGACUAAUAAUAAUAAGCCUAAGAAACGUUUGACGUUCUGUGUUGAAGGGAACAUUAGUGUUGGCAAGACAACGUUUCUACAGAGGAUAGCCAAUGAGACCAUUGAGCUUCGUGACUUGGUUGAGAUUGUUCCUGAACCCAUUGACAAAUGGCAGGAUGUUGGACCUGAUCAUUUCAAUAUCUUAGAUGCUUUCUACGCUGAGCCUGAGAGGUAUGCUUAUACUUUCCAGAACUAUGUGUUUGUCACUCGCCUGAUGCAGGAGAAAGAAUCUUCCUCUGGUGUCAAACCUCUUAGGUUGAUGGAGCGUUCUGUGUUUAGUGACCGAAUGGUUUUCGUGCGAGCUGUUCAUGAAGCCAAAUGGAUGAAUGAGAUGGAGAUUAGCAUUUACGAUUCUUGGUUCGAUCCUGUGGUUUCUUGUUUACCAGGACUUGUUCCUGAUGGGUUUAUCUACUUGAGGGCCAGUCCUGACACUUGUCACAAGCGGAUGAUGUUAAGGAAACGAGAGGAAGAAGGUGGGGUGUCGUUAAAGUAUCUCCAGGACCUGGAGAUUGGUUUUAUGAAUCUCAGUAGUGAGAUGGAGCUGAUUCAGCUAAAAUUUGAAAAUGUCAAAAAUACCUGAAGAAAACCAAAGAAUUACAUCAACCCAGAAAUUUCCUAUUUACAUAUUUCUUCUUCUUCGGCUUGGACGAAGCUCUCUCUCAAGAGCUGAGCUCUUUUCUCUCUCUCAGCUUCAACGAAGCUUUGAUCUCUCAGAAUCUCUUCAUCGUUUCAUUGUCUCUCUCGUUCAUCUCUCAUCGCUUCAUCGCUUCAUCGCUUCAUCGUUUUGCUGGUGGGUUUGAAUAAUUAGAAGUAUUUGUACUGCUAUAACUAGUUUAUGUAGUGAAUACAUCAGUGAGUUGAGUACCACAGCCGUCUAAAAAUAGUUCUGGGGAUAAAUUUAUAUCAAAGAUGCCUUUCAAAGAUGCUGCAUAUAUAGGUCACAAUAGUAUGGACGUUGGGUUUGAUUUCGCUGUUGCACCUGCUUCCACCAGUCUUCACCUUGAAAAUUGGGCGCAAUGUGAUAGUUGUGAGACAUGGCGACUACUGCCCCUUGGCCUGAAUACUGAGAAGCUGCCUGAUAAGUGGCUGUGUAGCAUGCAAACGUGGCUGCCUGGAAUGAACCACUGUGGUGUCAGCGAGGAAGAGACAACAAAGGCUAUUAUACCCUGUCAUGCUAGUGAGGCUCAUGGUCCUGAAAAUGGUGUCAAACUCCUCUCUGGUGCUAGUAAUGCUGGUAAAAGCUACCAACCAUUAACUUCUGGUUCAUUGCCAAAUCCAGUUGAAAAGAAGUCUAACAUGAAAGACUUUUCUCAAGGACUUCCAAGCAAUAUCUUGGUUGAUGCUGCAACACCUAUGAAAAGUAGCCCACAUGUUCUUAAAAUAAAAAACUUGAAGCUGUCAGGAGAAACGCCUAAUGCUACUCAGAUAUCCACUGACUUUGGUGUGUCGCAUGAUUUUGUUCAGGAUAAGGUUGACCAGAAAGCAAAGUGGCGAUGAGCAGGUACUGAUUGUCAGAUAAAGACCAAGAAGAAAAAGGAGGGUGACAAACAAGAAAGUGAUGGUUCCAAGCAUAUCACGACUGGUGUUGGAAACAAACUCGCCAGAGGUAUGAAAGUAGAAGAAAUACAUUGGAAUCAAGAUCCGGAAUGGACUCCAGCAGAGAGAAAAACAAAGCGUCCUGACAAUGAUUUUCACACUUUGGAUAUAGAGCGAGACACAAAGAAAAGAUUACUCGCAUCUAAAAGCAAACCUGAUCACAAACGUCAUCUACCAACUGCUAGUGAUGAAAAUAAGAUUUCAGUCCAGGAAUCUAAAGCAUGCCAAAGAAAUGAAUUGUUUCAGGCUGGUGGCUCUCAUGAAUCUGAAACAUGUUCUGAAAACUUGAGAGCAUGAUCUUUCUAUUGAUAUAAAGAUAGUCUUCUGGGUCCAUUUGGUUUGAUGGGAAAUUGCUUCCAAAGUUGACUGUUCGCAGGGUUGUGUCAUUCGGGUUAUGUGUUGGGAAUUUGGUCAUAACUUUAAAAACCGUGAGUCAAAAUCAAGAUCUGUUUUUUUCUGUGGCUUUGUAUGUCUGUUGUGAAUCUUUCCAUCAAGUUUCAUAAUUUUCUAGGUUGUUUUGGCACUCUGUUUGUCGUCUGCAUCACGACAGACGAAUUUAGUAGCUUUAUGGCUUCA